UACGGAGGGUGCGAGCGUUGUCCGGAAUCACUGGGCGUAAAGGGUGCGUAGGCGGGUCUUUAAGUCAGGGGUGAAAUCCUGGAGCUCAACUCCAGAACUGCCUUUGAUACUGGCGAUCUCGAGUCCGGGAGAGGUGAGUGGAACUGCGAGUGUAGAGGUGAAAUUCGUAGGAUAUUCGCAAGAACACCAGUGGCGAAGGCGGCUCACUGGCCCGGUACUGACGCUGAGGUGCGAAAGCGUGGGGAGCAACAGG
rnacentral:rRNA from 1 species